UUGAUAAUUCCACUUGUAUGAAAUGUUUCCUCUAUAAUCUUACAUAUCUUCUUUUGUGUAUUCUAAAACAUUAUUCUGAGAAGGGGACCAUCGGCCUCAAUAGACUGCCAGAGGGGCCUGUAGCACAAAAACAGGCCUCUGCCCUGGCAGAGGCAGCAAGAUUAUUUAACAGCCUGUUAAUUCAGACAAGCAAUAAUGAGAAUGUGACUCAGGCAGUGUCCACAGGGGAUAGAUUCCAGAGAUCCUUUAAACUUCACUCACAGAAUCUGCUUUUAUCAGCAAUACAGCCAGAUGAUAGCAUUGCUACUACCCAUUUAUGCUCACUUAAUUUUGGCAGAAGGAAAUACUUCUUUGGAAGAGUAGUUUAGGAAUGUUUUCUUUUUAAAGUUAGCAUGAAAUAGGGAGAAAUGUUCAAGACAGACAGGAUGCCAUCUUGUUGUUUAGCUGGCAUAAUGGAUAUUAGCUGGACAUUUUUCCACAAUUAAUAGCUUCCCCCGCAGAAAAAACAAUAAGCUUUUACCACCUUAGAUCGUGUGACAGAAAGCCUCUUAAAGUAGAGGAACAGAAUCAGACACUCAAUAGGAAGAAGAGCCUUAGUGAUUUGCCCUGAGGGAUUGGAAGCAGCACAGGAAUUGCUAGUGGCAGGUUGAGGAUGCCUCAAUAAUAGUCUCAAGCUCCAAUCCCAUGGAUCCACAGGCCCUUGCAGAGUUAUCUUUCAUUGCUUUGUACAUGACACUGUGAGCCUGCAGUAAAGCAGCAGCAGCCCAGUUCAUCACUUGAGUUCCAUUGAUCCAGCCACUCCAAUGGGCUGUGGCUGUCUCCAGUCUAAUCUCCAGAGGAUUAUGGGUUUGUAGUCUCCUAUGACCUUACACUUGGAUUUCCAGCAGUCAGUGGCCUCUUGUUUCAUUUUACUAGAAUGUGAGCUCUGGGUGAGAGAGUGAGACUCCAUCUCGAAAAAAAAAAUAUUAAAAAAAAUAAAACUGCACAUGUAAAUAUGUAAGACAUUAUUAUUACAGGAUUUAAUGAAAACUCAUAUUCAUCCUCCCCAUACGUUUCUUUUUUUUCUUUUUCCUUUUUUUUGAGACAGAGUUUCGCUCUUGUUGCCCAGGCUGGAGUGUAGUGGCACAAUCUCAGCUCACUGCAACCUCCACUUCCUGGGUUCAAGUGAUUCUCCUGCCUCAGCCUCCUGAGUAGCUGGAAUUACAGGCGCAUGUCACCACACCCGGCUAAUUUUUGUAUUUUUAGUAGAGACAAAGUUUCACCACCUUAGCCAGGCUGGUCUUGAACUCCUGACCUCAGGUAAUCCUCCCUCCUUGGCCUCCCAAAGUGCUGGGAUUACAGGCAUGAGCCACUG
rnacentral:lncRNA from 1 species